rnacentral:snoRNA from 1 species
GUCUAAUGAUGAAAACAUGCGUGUCAGCUGACUCUGUAAACCGCUGCUGUGUUGUUGCUCUGGUCAGCGUUUUGCUGGUCCGAGUCCUCGGCACGGCAGGGCUACAGAGACGUGAUCAUACUUCACUACUUCUGAAUUC